rnacentral:rRNA from 1 species
AUACUGACUCGUCUGUAACUGCGGAGGAUCAUUAACGAGUUCAAAUGUGGGCUUGAGCUGGCGCUUCGGCGCAAGUGCUCGGCCCCGCUCAUCCACUCAACCCCUGUGCACUUUAGAGGUGUGGUCCCCCGUCAUGGGAGCCGCCGGCGCGAGCUGGCUGGGAUCGCGCCUCGACCUUCACACAAACCACUCAAAGUAUAGUGAAUGUGAAUCGCGUUAGCGAUGAAACUUAAUACAACUUUCAACAACGGAUCUCUUGGCUCUCGCAUCGAUGAAGAACGCAGCGAAAUGCGAUAAGUAAUGUGAAUUGCAGAAUUCAGUGAAUCAUCGAAUCUUUGAACGCACCUUGCGCUCCUUGGUAUUCCGAGGAGCAUGCCUGUUUGAGUGUCAUGAGCAUCAUCAACCUCCUGGUUUUGUUACUUGGGAGGCUUGGACUUGGGGGCUGCUGGCCUUGCGGUCGGCUCCUCUGGAAUGCAUUAGCUGGUCGCUGGGGCGUCCUCGGUGUGAUAAGUAUUUCACCUUGGGCGUCCUGUCGAGGCGGCCGCUUCGAACCGUCUUCGGACAACCUUUUGACAAUCUGACCUCAAAUCAGGUAGGACUACCCGCUGAACUUAAGCAUAUCAAUAAGCGGAGGAAAAGAAACUAACAAGGAUUCCCCUAGUAACUGCGAGUGAAGCGGGAAGAGCUCAAAUUUAAAAUCUGGCGGCUUCGUCGUCCGAGUUGUAAUCUGAAGAAGCGUUUUCCGCGCCGGACCGUGUACAAGUCUCUUGGAACAGAGCUUCAUAGAGGGUGAGAGUCCCGUCCAUGACACGGACUGCCGGUGCUUUGUGAUACGCUCUCAAAGAGUCGAGUUGUUUGGGAAUGCAGCUCAAAAUGGGUGGUAAAUUCCAUCUAAGCUAAAUAUGGGCGAGAGACCGAUAGCGAACUAGUACCGUACGGAAAGAUGAAAAGCACUUUGGAAAGAGAGUAAACAGUACGUGAAAUUGUUGAAAGGAAACGGCUUGGAGUCAAUCGCGUUGUCCGGGACUCAGCCUCGCUUCUGCGUGGUGUACUCCGUUCUACGGGCAACAUCGACUUUGGACGGCGGAAAAGGUUCGGGGAUGGGGCACGACUGCGGUGUGUAAAGCCCUGUUCCGCAU